rnacentral:rRNA from 1 species
CCUGGUGGCAAUAGCCCGAGGGAAACACGCGAUCCCAUCCCGAACUCGAAUGUGAAGACUCGGAACGCCUAUGGUACUGCGGCUUAAGUCGUGGGAGAGUCGGUAACUGCCAGGU